CCUACGGGAGGCAGCAGUGGGGAAUAUUGCACAAUGGGGGAAACCCUGAUGCAGCGACGCCGCGUGAGUGAAGAAGUAUUUCGGUAUGUAAAGCUCUAUCAGCAGGGAAGAAGAAAGACGGUACCUGACUAAGAAGCCCCGGCUAACUACGUGCCAGCAGCCGCGGUAAUACGUAGGGGGCAAGCGUUAUCCGGAUUUACUGGGUGUAAAGGGAGCGUAGACGGCUGUGCAAGUCUGAAGUGAAAGCCCCGGGCUCAACCCUGGGACUGCUUUGGAAACUGUGGAGCUAGAGUGCUGGAGAGGUAAGUGGAAUUCCUAGUGUAGCGGUGAAAUGCGUAGAUAUUAGGAGGAACACCAGUGGCGAAGGCGGCUUACUGGACAGUAACUGACGUUGAGGCUCGAAAGCGUGGGGAGCAAACAGGAUUAGAUACCCCAGUAGUC
rnacentral:rRNA from 1 species